UCUCAACUCACCACCAAUCCCCAGCCACCUACCACUCUGGUUUUUAGUGUAUAAAGUUGUAAGAAAAAAAAAAUGUGAAAAAGGCCGCACGGUUCCGUUGACGACGACGGCUCUCAAUGUCUGUUUUUUUAACUAAUCCUCGUCUCACCUACCCUCCUCCUCAUGCCCUCUCCACCCCUCGACCGUCACCAACCUCCGUCGCUAACCUCCGUCUCCCCGCCGCUGAGUUCUCUCGCCGCUUCAAAUCUAAUUUCUUCUCCGCCGAAUUAUCUUCCCCGCAGACCAGGAGCGUGCCGGUUCCGGUAGUAUUUUCCGAUCAACAGCGACGUCGGAGCAUAGAGCCAAGCAAUGUCUAUGUUAGUGAUUCUUUCCUUUGGUUCUGUUCUGUUUUGGAGUUGAUCGGUUCAGACAAAGUUCGUCCUGGAUUUAUGUUAGGAUGAAGAAUUUUAUGAAUUAUAUGUUAGAUUUUGUUACUAGGUUGUGGUUUAGAUAGGUUUUGAUUGUGAUUUUGUGGUUUGUUUAUUUAAUUUGUUGUUUUAUGAAAUUUAUAAAGUUUUUAUUAUUUUAAAAAACGUUUUUCAAAAUUUAAAAUCUUUUGGAUUAUUUAUAAUUUUUGAAAAAUUUAUUUAAAGUAUAUAUAUAUAUAAUGUUUUCAAUUUUUCAUUAUUUUUGUUGUUUUAAAACGUUUUUAUGAUUUUAUUAAACAUUUUAAGCUUUUUUAUAAAACAUUUUUAAGUUUUCAUACAAAGUUUUUAAGUUUGUUAUAAUUUAUAAAACGUUUUCUGAUUUCUAAAGUUUAUCAAAACGUUUUUCACUUUUGUAAAAACCUUUUCAAUCUAUAAAAGGUUUUUUUUGUUUUUUUAGAUUUAAUUAAAACGUUUUUCAAUUUUUAGAAAACGGUUUCAAUUACAAAAAUGUUUUUUUUAAUUUAUUAAAAAUUUUUCUUUUUGUCUUAAUAUAUUUUCAAUUUAUAAAAAGUUUUAUGUUUUUAAAAAUUUAUAAAAAACAUUUAUUAUAAACGAUUUUAAAAAUAAUUAUAUUACAAAAACGUUUUUCUAAUUUUAAAUUUUAUUUUGUUUAUAUAUAAAGAAUUAAGAUAUUUAUUAUAAAUGAUUCUGAAAUUUUGUAUUUUGUAUUUAAAAUAUUUAUUAUAUUUUAAACAAAAUUUGUUUUAUUUUUAAAAAAUAAUAAUUUACAAAUUUUUCUACGGAUAAUAUCCUUCGAAAUUUCGUAGGAAACUUAUCCGCCAGAAUUUCGUCGGGAACUUAUCCGUCAGAAUUUCGUUAGGAAUUCGUAAAAAGUAUCCGACAAAAUUCUGACCGAAAAUGAUUUAUUCCGACGGAUUUCUAACGAAAACGUCCAUAGGAAACAAGCUGGUUUUUUGUAGUGUAAAUAUUUCGAAUGUUCGUGAUGGAGACUACCUCUAAGAUGCCACUACAAGCAUAAGAGCACCCCCAUUGGUGAACUUCCCGAAUUUUGAUUCCCAAAAUCCACUUUUGAUUAUUAUAAUUUUUUUUUUCGUUUGAUUUUUUUUAAAAAAAAAUUAAUAAACCUACCAAUCGCGGGUCGCUACGUGUCAGUAGAGCCUGCAAACAGUGUUGAUACAGAUUCAUUCCAGCGAGUUCAAGUGAUACAGGUUCAUAAAAAACAGGUUAUUAUAUUUAUUUAUUUUUUUUGGAAACUGUGUGAGCCUCUCUUUACAUCCUCUAAUGGGAAUGCUCUAACGGAUCUAUUUUUGUUAAGGUACUCGUCCUAAUAUAUACGGCCUUCUCGAGAAGCAAUGCAAAGGUUCUUUCACAUGUAAAUAUUGGCUCUAUCUCACAAUAGAAGAAAAAUAUUGAUGGAAACUCAUGCAUCUAACAUCAUCAACGAAACACCAAGUUUCUCAAUUGCGUCGCCAUAAAAUCUUCAAUCUUCCAUCAAUUUUAGACCGAGUAUGUGAAAUUAGAUUCACCUAAGUUCCUAUUUUGGGAUAGAGACUACAAUGAUUUUUCCAUUCUAUAUUUAUUUAACAUACCUGAGCUAUCUCGUGGUGAAAGGGGAUCUUCUUACUAGGAGGAGGCUCGUUGGCAGUGAAAGCCUAAGUGACAUUGUUGAAUACGGGGCUCAAUUCAUCAAUUCAUCCAGAUUCGUACAAGAAUAAUUCCUUGACGUCUCUCCUUGUGAAUCCAUUACAGCAGCUCCAGCAUAUGUAUGUUUACUUAUCAAAAAAAUAAAAGCUAAGCCAAUGUUCAAAAAAUAAAAAUAAUAAAAUAAUAAAAGCUCCAGCAUAUGUAUUGUAUUCAUCCAACUUGUCAUCCUAUUUCAUUUUGAAUUACUCACUAAUUGAGGGUUUUAGUAACCAACAAACAGAGCUGUGUCUAAUGUGUUUAAAUAUAUAUAUAUACAUGCAUAUAACAAAUCGGAUCAUAUAUUUAUACCAAAAAAUAUUAGUAUUUGUAAUUUGAUUUGUUAUGGAUAUUAAAUAUUAUUAUUUGUUUUACUUUGUAAAGUUAUGGAUACGUGAUUUUUCUGUUCAAAUAGAACAGCAUAUCUGAUUCGUGCCAACCCCUAAUUGGAACCAUCAACUUUUUUUUAGACGUUGAUAUUUUUCUCUUUUGGAUGUGUUGUUUCAUAAUAUAUAUAAUUAUAAAUUAUAUUAGUAAUAUUAUAAGUUUUAUUAUUCUAUACUUAAAAUGCCCCGUUUUAGACUCUGCCUUAAGUUUCUACAUUAUGCACGCCACUGCCAACAUAUUGUCUUUUGUCGAAAAAUUGGCUUCUUAUGUGACUUACAAUUCUGGGACUUUCUUCCCUAAACGGUAAAACCCGUCUUCAUUAUUCGCAGCAAUAUAUCCCUAUCACAGCUCUCGAAUAGUCAAAUUUCUCCAUUUUCCCUGAGGUGAGGAUGAUGUGCGACCGUCAUGCGAACAAGGUCAUUGUUCAGAAAGCUGUCAUUAUCUUAGAUUUAGAAAGAUGUGUAAAUCUAUAUUCUAUUAAAAUAUAAAUAUAGUUUAGGACUAAUUAACAUUUAGUUGAUGUGUGAUUAAUAAAAAAAAUAUACUACUUUUAAACUACAGCUACAAAGACCAUUUCAAAUUUGAGUAAUAUAAUGAUUUUUUUACGUAAAAAAAACUCCACCUAGAGAUAUCAUUAAGUAUAUUAGUCACUACUUACAUAUUAAAUAAUUUCAGAAAAUACGCUAUCAUACAUGAGUUUAUUGCACCAUUAAAUGAUAUAUUUUUAAUUUUAAGUAUUUAAUAUUUUACUGACAAAACUUUAGAAUUUUUUUAAAAUAUCUUCUUCUUUAAAUAAAUAAUUAAAUUUGUAUUUAUUUAUAAAAAAUAUUAAAAUAAAUAUAACUUCAGAUUCAUUUUUUUUAAAACAAUAACAAAAUAUAUAAUAUAUAUUCCAUAAGUAAUAAAAUUGUUAAAAUAAAUUAUAAAUAUGAAUAAAUAACUUAAUCUACCAAAUAUUUUGAUAACUAAUAAUCGGAUUUAAGUUAUUAUAUGUACUUUAACAUAAUUUUAAGUAAACAUUAUAAAAAUAUUUAAAUUAAUUUAACUAUGUAAGGUUGAAAAACAACUUUGUGAGGUUAAUGUAAUAAAAUUUAAAUUAAUAUACUUGUAAUUUGAUAAAUAUUUUAGAAAUAUAAAAUUAUACUAUUUGAUGAUAUGGUGGUUUGAGUUACGGUUAGUAUUUUAUGUUUGUAAUUAGACAAGAGAAAACAUUAGCUUAUUUCAGUUACCAAAAACAUUAAAUUAAAUUUUGACCAAUACUAAACAUUAAAAAAAACUAGGUUAACACAUUUUAAUUAGAAAACGUUGAAAAUUAGAGUAAAACGGAUUGGAAGCCAUAGUAAAAUUUGUAAAAACAAGAAAAUUACGAAUAGUCUUUUUUUUUUUUUUUUUUUUUGAUCAAACAGUCCACUAGUUACAUAUAUAAAUUUAGUAAUGUCGACGUAAUUGUUGGACAAAAAGAGAGUAAAACGAACCCAACAGGCUUAUCAUGGGCUCACUAAGCCCAAGCCCACUUCCGUAACACAAAACAUUCAGACAGAAAAGUACCUUUUGUUUUCCGCCUAAUGUCUCAACUCACCACCAAUCCCCAGCCACCUACCACUCUGGUUUUUAGUGUAUAAAGUUGUAAGAAAAAAAAAAUGUGAAAAAGGCCGCACGGUUCCGUUGACGACGACGGCUCUCAAUGUCUGUUUUUUUAACUAAUCCUCGUCUCACCUACCCUCCUCCUCAUGCCCUCUCCACCCCUCGACCGUCACCAACCUCCGUCGCUAACCUCCGUCUCCCCGCCGCUGAGUUCUCUCGCCGCUUCAAAUCUAAUUUCUUCUCCGCCGAAUUAUCUUCCCCGCAGACCAGGAGCGUGCCGGUUCCGGUAGUAUUUUCCGAUCAACAGCGACGUCGGAGCAUAGAGCCAAG
rnacentral:lncRNA from 1 species